rnacentral:rRNA from 1 species
AACUGCGAAUGGCUCAUUAAAUCAGUUAUAGUUUAUUUGAUAGUACCUUACUACUUGGAUAACCGUGGUAAUUCUAGAGCUAAUACAUGCUAAAAAUCCCGACUUCUGGAAGGGAUGUAUUUAUUAGAUAAAAAACCAACAGUUGGGAAACCGACUAAACCUUGGUGAUUCAUGAUAACUUUUCGAAUCGUACGGCCUCGUGCCGACGAUGAAUCAUUCAAAUUUCUGCCCUAUCAACUUUCGAUGGUAGGAUAGGGGCCUACCAUGGUGGUAACGGGUAACGGGGAAUUAGGGUUCGAUUCCGGAGAGGGAGCCUGAGAAACGGCUACCACAUCCAAGGAAGGCAGCAGGCGCGCAAAUUACCCAAUCCCGACACGGGGAGGUAGUGACAAUAAAUAACAAUACGGGGCUCUUUCGGGUCUCGUGAUUGGAAUGAGUACAAUUUAAAUCCCUUAACGAGGAACAAUUGGAGGGCAAGUCUGGUGCCAGCAGCCGCGGUAAUUCCAGCUCCAAUAGCGUAUAUUAAAGUUGUUGCAGUUUAAAAAAGCUCGUAGUUGAAUUUCGGGAUUGGCCCAUCCGGUCGUGCCUUACGGGGUAUGAACUGAUGUAGUCAAUUUCUCACCUUCUGGAGAACCGCGAUGUCCUUAAUUGGGGGGCCGCGGGGAACCAAGGACCUUUAACUUUGAAAAAAUUAAGAGUGUUUAAGCAGGCAUUUUUGCUUGAUACCUUAGCAUGGAUUAUAAAAUAGGACGGCUGG